AUAAGCAAUCUAUACAGUGAAACUGCGAAUGGCUCAUUAAAUCAGUUAUCGUUUAUUUGAUAGUACCUUACUACUUGGAUAACCGUGGUAAUUCUAGAGCUAAUACAUGCUAAAAACCUCGACUUCGGAAGGGGUGUAUUUAUUAGAUAAAAAACCAAUGCCCUUCGGGGCUCCUUGGUGAUUCAUGAUAACUUAACGAAUCGCAUGGCCUUGUGCCGGCGAUGGUUCAUUCAAAUUUCUGCCCUAUCAACUUUCGAUGGUAGGAUAGUGGCCUACCAUGGUUUCAACGGGUAACGGGGAAUUAGGGUUCUAUUCCGGAGAGGGAGCCUGAGAAACGGCUACCACAUCCAAGGAAGGCAGCAGGCGCGCAAAUUACCCAAUCCCGACACGGGGAGGUAGUGACAAUAAAUACUGAUACAGGGCUCUUUUGGGUCUUGUAAUUGGAAUGAGUACAAUUUAAAUCCCUUAACGAGGAACAAUUGGAGGGCAAGUCUGGUGCCAGCAGCCGCGGUAAUUCCAGCUCCAAUAGCGUAUAUUAAAGUUGUUGCAGUUAAAAAGCUCGUAGUUGAACCUUGGGCCUGGUUGGUCGGUCCGCCUCGCGGCGUGCACUGAUCCGACCGGGCCUUUCCUUCUGGGGAACCGCAUGCCCUUCAUUGGGUGUGUUGGGGAUCCAGGACUUUUACUUUGAAAAAAUUAGAGUGUUCAAAGCAGGCAUAUGCUCGAAUACAUUAGCAUGGAAUAAUAGAAUAGGACGUGUGGUUCUAUUUUGUUGGUUUCUAGGACCGCCGUAAUGAUUAAUAGGGA
rnacentral:rRNA from 1 species